UACGAAGAGGGCUAGCGUUGCUCGGAAUUACUGGGCGUAAAGCGCACGUAGGCGGUCUUUUAAGUCGGUGGUGAAAUCCUGGAGCUCAACUCCAGAACUGCCUUCGAUACUGGAAGACUUGAGUCCGGGAGAGGUGAGUGGAACUGCGAGUGUAGAGGUGAAAUUCGUAGAUAUUCGCAAGAACACCAGUGGCGAAGGCGGCUCACUGGCCCGGUACUGACGCUGAGGUGCGAAAGCGUGGGGAGCAAACAGG
rnacentral:rRNA from 1 species